rnacentral:rRNA from 1 species
UACGGAGGGUGCAAGCGUUAUCCGGAUUCACUGGGUUUAAAGGGUGCGUAGGUGGGUUGGUAAGUCAGUGGUGAAAUCUCCGUGCUUAACAUGGAAACUGCCAUUGAUACUACUGGUCUUUGAAUUUUCCGGAGGUAAGCGGAAUAUGUCAUGUAGCGGUGAAAUGCUUAGAUAUGACAUAGAACACCAAUUGCGAAGGCAGCUUACUACAGGGACAUUGACACUGAGGCACGAAAAGCGUGGGGGAUCAAAACAGGAUUAGAAA